rnacentral:rRNA from 1 species
GUAGGUGGCAAGCGUUGUCCGGAAUUAUUGGGCGUAAAGCGCGCGCAGGCGGUUCUUUAAGUCUGAUGUGAAAGCCCACGGCUCAACCGUGGAGGGUCAUUGGAAACUGGAGAACUUGAGUACAGAAGAGGAAAGCGGAAUUCCACGUGUGGCGGUGAAAUGCGUAGAGAUGUGGAGGAACACCAGUGGCGAAGGCGGCUUUCUGGUCUGUAACUGACGCUGAGGCGCGAAAGCGUGGGGAGCAAACAGGGAUUAGAUACCCUGGUAGUCCACGCCGUAAACGAUGAGUGCUAAGUGUUAGGGGGUUUCCGCCCCCCUUAGUGCUGCAGCUAACGCAUUAAGCACUCCGCCUGGGGUAGUACGGCCCGCAAGGCUG